rnacentral:tRNA from 1 species
AAAAUUUUAGUUUAGUAAAAAUAUUUCAUUUACAAUGAAGAGAUUGAUAAAUUAUAUAAUAAAUUAUUAAGAUUUUA